GAGAAACCUGCCCCGGAGAUCGGGAUAGCCCAGGGAAACCUGGAUUAAUACCGAAUAUCCUCCUUCUGUCGCAUGGCGGAUGGAGGAAAUGGUCCGCUGCUCCGGGAUGGUCUCGCGACCUAUCAGCUUGUUGGUGAGGUAACGGCUCACCAAGGCAACGACGGGUAGCUGGUCUGAGAGGACGAUCAGCCACACUGGGACUGAGACACGGCCCAG
rnacentral:rRNA from 1 species